CGCACCUGUAAUCCCAGCUGCUCGGGAGGCUGAGGCAGGAGAAUCGCUUGAACCUGGGAGGCGGGGGGUUGCAGUGAGCCGAGAUCUGGCCAUUGCACUCCAGCGUGGGCAACAGAGUGAGACUCCAUCUCAAAAAAAAAGGUUAAUCUUUCCAACUAGAUUUUCAAGGAUGAGGAUUUUGUUGUUGUUGUUGUUGUUGUUCUCAAAUGUAUUCCCAGGGCUUGGAACAGAGCCUGACAUAUACUAGGCACUCAACAAAUAUUUGUUGAAUGAUUGUAAUGAGUAACACCCAUUUUUGCAGAUCUUUGUCUUCUGAGCCUAGGGCAUAGGUCAUCACUGCAGGGGUGAGAUUGUCAAAAUGGGAGUCUACAGCGCCAGAGACCCAAGUUGAGGAACAGCCUAUAAAAUAACUGGC
rnacentral:lncRNA from 10 species